rnacentral:rRNA from 1 species
UGGGGAAUUUUGCACAAUGGGGGAAACCCUGAUGCAGCGACGCCGCGUGAUUUAGAAGGCCUUCGGGUUGUAAAAAUCUUUUGUAUGGGAAGAAAAUGACAGUACCAUACGAAUAAGGACCGGCUAAUUACGUGCCAGCAGCCGCGGUAAUACGUAAGGUCCGAGCGUUAUCCGGAUUUACUGGGCGUAAAGGGCGUGUAGGCGGCUAGAUAAGUGUGAUGUUUAAAUCCAAGGCUUAACCUUGGGGUUCAUUACAAACUGUUUAGCUUGAGUGCUGGAGAGGAUAGUGGAAUUCCUAGUGUAGCGGUAAAAUGCGUAGAUAUUAGGAGGAACACCGGUGGCGAAGGCGGCUAUCUGGACAGUAACUGACGCUGAGGCGCGAAAGCGUGGGGAGCAAACAGG